GUGUCAGCCGCCGCGGUAAUACGGGGGGAGCGAGCGUUGUUCGGAAUCACUGGGCGUAAAGCGUGCGCAGGCGGCUUAGUAAGUCAGAAGUGAAAUCCCAGGGCUCAACCCUGGAACUGCUUUUGAAACUAUUAGGCUAGAGUAUGGUAGAGGUUGGGAGAAUUCCUAGUGUAGAGGUGAAAUUCGUAGAUAUUAGGAGGAAUACCAGUGGCGUAGGCGCCCAACUGGACCAUAACUGACGCUCAGGCACGAAAGCGUGGGGAGCAAACAGGAUUAGAUACCCUGGUAGUCC
rnacentral:rRNA from 1 species